rnacentral:rRNA from 1 species
AGAACGAACGCUGGCGGCAGGCCUCAAACAUGCAAGUCUAGGGGGCGUAGCAAUACGUCACCGGCGGACGGGUGCGUAACACGUGGGAAUGUACUUACUGGUUCGGAACAACUCAGGGAAACUUGAGCUAAUACCGAAUGUGCCCGAAAGGGGAAAGAUUUAUCGCCAGUAAAUCAGCCCGCGUCCGAUUAGCUAGUUGGUGGGGUAAAGGCCCACCAAGGCGACGAUCGGUAGCUGUUCUGAGAGGAAGAUCAGCCACACUGGGACUGAGACACGGCCCAGACUCCUACGGGAGGCAGCAGUUGGGAAUCUUGGACAAUGGGGAACCCUGAUCCAGCCAUGCCGCGUGAGUGAUGAAGGCCUUCGGGUUGUAAACUCUUUCGACGGGGACGAUAAUGACGGUACCCGUAGAAGAAGCUCCGGCUAACUUCGUGCCAGCAGCCGC